UGAUCAAAACAGAAUCUGGUCGGAACAGGA
rnacentral:piRNA from 1 species